rnacentral:rRNA from 1 species
UACGUAGGGUGCGAGCGUUAAUCGGAAUUACUGGGCGUAAAGCGUGCGCAGGCGGUUCGUUGUGUCUGAUGUGAAAGCCCCGGGCUCAACCUGGGAAUGGCAUUGGAAACUGGCGAGCUAGAGUGUGGCAGAGGGGGGUGGAAUUCCGCGUGUAGCAGUGAAAUGCGUAGAGAUGCGGAGGAACACCGAUGGCGAAGGCAGCCCCCUGGGCUGACACUGACGCUCAGUCACGAAAGCGUGGGGAGCAAACAGG